CGUAGCUGAAACUUGUACGGCUCUCUUGGAGAUCACCCAAGUAGCAUAGGGCCCGAGAAAUCCUGUGUGAAUCUGGCGGGACCACCCGUUAAGCCUAAAUAUUCCCUGGUGACCGAUAGCGGAUAGUACCGUGAGGGAAUGGUGAAAAGUACCGCGGGAGCGGAGUGAAAUAGUACCUGAAACCGUGUGCCUACAAGCCGUGGGAGCGUCGCAUCAAGUGCUUGCGCUUGGUGUCGUGACUGCGUGCCUUUUGAAGAAUGAGCCUGCGAGUUUGCGGUGUGUUGCGAGGUUAACCCGUGUGGGGGAGCCGUAGCGAAAGCGAGUCCGAAGAGGGCGUUUUUAGUAGCACGCUCAAGACCCGAAGCGGAGUGAUCUAGCCAUGGGCAGGUUGAAGCGCGGGUAAGACCGUGUGGAGGACCGAACCCACCAGGGUUGAAAACCUGGGGGAUGACCUGUGGUUAGGGGUGAAAGGCCAAUCAAACUCCGUGAUAGCUGGUUCUCCCCGAAAUGCAUUUAGGUGCAGCGUCGUGUGUUUCUUGCCGGAGGUAGAGCACUGGAUAGGCGAUGGGCCCUACCGGGUUACUGACCUUAGCCAAACUCCGAAUGCCGGUAAGUGAGAGCGCGGCAGUGAGACUGUGGGGGAUAAGCUCCAUGGUCGAGAGGGAAACAGCCCAGAGCAUCGACUAAGGCCCCUAAGCGUACGCUAAGUGGGAAAGGAUGUGGAGUCGCAGAGACAACCAGGAGGUUGGCUUAGAAGCAGCCAUCCUUGAAAGAGUGCGUAAUAGCUCACUGGUCA
rnacentral:rRNA from 1 species